rnacentral:rRNA from 1 species
UUGGUUAAGUUAGAAAGGGCGCACGGUGGAUGCCUUGGCACUAGGAGCCGAAGAAGGACGGGACUAACACCGAUAUGCUUUGGGGAGCUGUACGUAAGCGUUGAUCCAGAGAUUUCCGAAUGGGGGAACCCACUAUCUUUAGUCGGAUAGUAUCCUUACGUGAAUACAUAGCGUGAGGAAGGCAGACCCAGGGAACUGAAACAUCUAAGUACCUGGAGGAAGAGAAAGAAAAAUCGAUUUCCUGAGUAGCGGCGAGCGAAACGGAAAGAGCCCAAACCAAGAAGCUUGCUUCUUGGGGUUGUAGGACACUCUAUACGGAGUUACAAAAGAAAGUUAUAAAUGAAGCGGUCUGGAAAGGCCCGCCAAAGACGGUAACAGCCCGGUAGUUGAAAUGGCUUUCCCUCCAGAGUGGAUCCUGAGUACGGCGGAACACGUGAAAUUCCGUCGGAAUCCGGGAGGACCAUCUCCCAAGGCUAAAUACUCCCUAGUGACCGAUAGUGAACCAGUACCGUGAGGGAAAGGUGAAAAGCACCCCGGAAGGGGAGUGAAACAGUUCCUGAAACCGUGUGCCUACAAGUAGUUAGAGCCCGUUAAUGGGUGAUAGCGUGCCUUUUGUAGAAUGAACCGGCGAGUUACGAUUUGUUGCAAGGUUAAGCGGAAAAAGCGGAGCCGUAGCGAAAGCGAGUCUGAAUAGGGCGCAUAAGUAACAGGUCGUAGACCCGAAACCAGGUGAUCUACCCAUGUCCAGGAUGAAGGUAAGGUAAUACUUACUGGAGGUCCGAACCCACGCACGUUGAAAAGUGCGGGGAUGAGGUGUGGGUAGCGGAGAAAUUCCAAUCGAACUUGGAGAUAGCUGGUUCUCUCCGAAAUAGCUUUAGGGCUAGCCUCGAGGUAAAGAGUCAUGGAGGUAGAGCACUGUUUGGACUAGGGGCCCUUCUCGGGUUACCGAAUUCAGAUAAACUCCGAAUGCCAUGUACUUAUACUCGGGAGUCAGACUGCGAGUGAUAAGAUCCGUAGUCGAAAGGGAAACAGCCCAGACCACCAGUUAAGGUCCCCAAAUAUAUGUUAAGUGGAAAAGGAUGUGGGGUUGCUUAGACAACCAGGAUGUUGGCUUAGAAGCAGCCACCAUUGAAAGAGUGCGUAAUAGCUCACUGGUCGAGUGACCCCGCGCCGAAAAUGUACCGGGGCUAAACAUAUUACCGAAACUGUGGAUGAACCUCUUUAGAGGUUCGUGGUAGGAGAGCGUUCUAAGGGCGGUGAAGUCAGACCGGAAGGACUGGUGGAGCGCUUAGAAGUGAGAAUGCCGGUAUGAGUAGCGAAAGAAGGGUGAGAAUCCCUUCCACCGAAUAUCUAAGGUUUCCUGAGGAAGGCUCGUCCGCUCAGGGUUAGUCGGGACCUAAGCCGAGGCC